rfam:Triticum aestivum genome assembly, contig: Triticum_aestivum_CS42_TGACv1_scaffold_404561_5BL
AUACCUUUCUCGGCCUUUUGGCUAAGAUCAAGUGUAGUAUCUGUUCUUAUCAGUUUAAUAUCUGAUAUGUGGACCAAGUGUCCACAAUGAUAUUAAAUUUAUUUUUUAUGGGGGAGAGUCCACCAUGGUAGCUUGCUGCCGGGCCUCUCAUGUGUCGCCCAGGUGUUGCACUAUUGCCUGGGCCUGGCGCACCCCAA